rnacentral:lncRNA from 1 species
ACUCUUCACAGAGAACCACAGGAUGUCUACAGCAAACUGUUCAGGUAAACUUUUCUUUGAUAAAAAGUCACAUGCCACAUUAUUUCAAAUGUGUUUUUUUUUCUUUCUUUGUAAAAUGAGAGUAGCUUAUUUAAGUUGAUUCAUUUUAUUCAUCUGUUUUAUACUGUCAGUCAUGUAGACACCAGUCAUAAAUAGUUUAGAAUGUGUUUCAGUGUAAUUCUAAUAGAGGACGUGAAUUGUUUUAGAGCUGGAUCUGGAGUUGGGAGACUUGCUACAGGAGUUUAAUGAUGUUGUGAAGGAGUUGAGCACACCUUACGCCUCUGAACAUCUGCGGGGAGAUGUGAAGAGACACACAGCACUGACUGAUGGAGACGACUCAGACUACUGCAGCGAAGCUUCGCUGGUAAACAGCUUGAAUGCCAGUCAAGAGGAGCUCAACAUCCCAAGCAUGAGUACAGCCCCAAAAGCCAGGCUCGGGGACACCGGCGACCUACAGAGCUUCAUUGAAAACCUGGAUAGAGAGCUUGCAGAGAUGUGAGAUGACAGGACACACGUGAUCAGAGAGAACGCUGAGCACCUGAAGAGCUGGCAUUUAGCAAAGCGCAAUCUCUGCUUCCACACAUAGAAAUUAGGCUGAAGAAAAACAGCUUGAAGGCUUCAUUUUUUCCCCUUCACUAAGGAACGAGAGCUCACGGUGACUUUUAAUUGGUCAAGACUGUUUGGAAGAAUUACCAAGUUUCUCAGAAGAUGUUUUAUUUUAGUAAAUACUUACUAAAUUUAUAUGAAAAGCACAAUGCCUUGUAAGUUAUGACGAUUAAUGUUAAUACCUAUUUUUCACUAUAUAUAUUGUAAAAAUAUCAGUGUUACCAGGUUCAGUGUAAUGUGUAAUAUUAAUUUAACCUUGUAAAGAAUUUUUAAUAAUAAAAGUUUUUG